UAUCUUUGCGACCAGGAUACGGCACUGC
rnacentral:sRNA from 1 species